rnacentral:lncRNA from 1 species
AAUACUGGUUGUCUAAUGUAUACUGAAGCAGAACACUUCGUCCCUGGCUGGGGGUGUGUGUUCCAGAUGUCUUACGUUCCCUGGUACUGCUCCUGCACAGCUGUUUUUUAACACUUCAGGGUUCAGUUACUCUGCCUAGCACUGCUGCACCUCAGUCACCACGUCUGGCAAUCCAAAUGGAUCUUGCCAACCCCGGGAGUUCUCUCGUGAAUUCUUUUGUAAACAUUUUAUAAUAGGAGUUAGCUUUUGCAAGGUCAACAAUCACACCUACAUUUGUUUUUUUUUACAGUCAAAUUUUCGAGCUUUCUUUCAGUGGAGCCUACCUAUACUUUGUGAAGUGUGUUUAAUCUCUGAGUUAUGUACAUCAAAAGAUACUUCCUAGAUCUUUAAGAAGCUCUCCCAAGGGAAUAAAACUCUGGGCAAAUUGGAUGGUAGAAGUAUUUCACCAUUCAUGACAACGUGUUUCCUUUGGUUGUGUUGGUAUGUUUUUAGUGUUAACACUGGUGAAUCUAGAAAGUUUUCAUAAACUGGGGCUUGAUAAAGGAGGUUGGAUUUAAACUCUUACCUGAAAAAGAAAAAAAAAUACCAAAAACACAUGGGGAUAGGUUGGAUAAAUGGUGAAAGAAACACUGAGAACAAAAGUCAUUUUCCCCAUUCACUCUCAUCCUUGGACACUUUACUGGACCUUCCACCCUCCUUCUGAAGUCCAGGGAAGGCCACAAACUUCUCAGGCCCAAAUCUGUUAGCACCAGCAGGCUCAGCUCUAAGAGCCAGAGCCAGGUAAUAAGCUUAGCUUCCUAGCAACCCGCACACAAGUGUUCCCGAUAAAAUGGAUUACAUACUGCUGAUGAAUCCCAGGUGAAUAUCAUACUGACCCAACAAAGGAAUUAAUUUGUACCUCCUGCCACACUAAGGAGGCGGACUGAGAGAAUUCUUUUUGCCCAUGAUCCUUCCUGGCAUUCUCCCUGGAACGUCAUGGUAAAAACAAAAUGCUCCAAUGAGGUCAAAAGUGGAGGCUUCAACUUCCUAUUGCCUCUGCAAAAAAAAAAAAAAAAUGUCCUCAUAACAGGAAGCAGAGGGUCUGUUUUUCCAUCAGUUGCUUUCCCAAUACAACUCAGAUUGCCUGGAAUACCACCCUUAAAGAAUUACUCCAGGGUGCCCUGGGCAACUCACGUAAGUAGUUCAGUCACCCCAGUAUAAAUCAACCAAUUGCCAUUUUAUUUACACCUUGGGCUCUUGGGACCUUGGUUUAUCAAUCCUCAGGAGGCUAAUCUCCCCUGGGCAUUCAGACAAAAUGAGGUUUCUAUAAUAGAAGCUAGCUAACCAGGUUUGAAUUUAGGCUCUGCCGCUUCCAGCUGUAUGAUCCCUCUUUGGAAUAACAGUCCUACCUCAUAGGGUUGAUGUGACGAUUAAAUUAAUACGUGUAAAAUGCUCCAAGUUGAACCUGGCAUGUAAUGAACACUAUAUAGAAAUUCCUGCCAUUUUUGUUAUUGAGCCAAAGAUGACCCUGAAAUUGAAGGUGGUGACUGGCCCACCCAGAUGGCCCCUCUCUCCUUUCAGGCUACACCAGAAGCCUCCAAAGACAAACCACAGGCAGUGGGGGGCACAGUUCUGUCCAAGUUAUUAUUCACUGGAACCGGUAACCUCCUCUUCACACAUUUGGAAGCCAGCCCCAAUUUGUGACCUCCUCCUCAGUGACAGGAAGGAGACAAAGGGCCCAGCAGGAAUUCACUGGAAUCUUGUGGCUAGCCCUAGUUCAAGCUAUGGGUCAAGCAGUAAGAAGGAAGGGCUAUCAAACUCCUGAGGACACACAGCCAAAGAUGUUAUCCUCACAUUAACCAGCUGUAGUUCUAAAGUCAUAAACAGGUUAUAUAAUUAAGAAACAAAAGUGCUACCACAAAGCAUUCAUCUUCUAGCUGGCAUAAACUUCUGGGAAAAGGGGUGGCUGUCAGUCAUUUCUUGCUUGAUGCCCUCCUGAACAGGCACUUGUGAGAUGACUAAACAGGUUACAGGGUUGGCCCAUCGCUGUUGUUACAGGCAACGUGUGCCCAGAUUAGGGGACAGGUAAUACAUAUUUUCUCUUUAUGAAAUGAGUGUGCCAGGGGUCAAACCUACCAACAAUGGUAGACUCAGGUAGUCUCAAUUCUGUUUCACAAACAGUUGGCCAACUGGCCAGAACAGGCCAUCAUUCUAGGCAAAGAGAAACAUGACAAAGCUCUCAAGUCAGCUUGGGAUCUAUCUAUAUAGAUGAUUUUUUUUUUU